rnacentral:misc_RNA from 1 species
GUGACAAGGCAACACCAGAUGUCCCUGCGUCAAUGUUCUGCCUCUUUGGAUUUGGCUCAUCUUCAUCUCUGUCAUCUGUUAUCUCUGUAUCAGCUCGUUCUUCACUGUCACUAGACCCUAAUUGCACAUUUUCACUUGACUUGUUCAAAAUUCCAGCUUGAUUUUGCAAACCACAUUCAGGCUUCAUCAAAGAAUUUGUACAUCCACUCGGUUCACUAUUAUCUCUUGCACGUUUGUUGGCUGGAGGAGGUUCGUGGUUGUGCUGUCCUUUGUAAAUAAUUUCAGUAAUUUGACCAUCAGGUGAGCGCUCAAUCUUCUUUUUUACAGGGCAAUUCAAAUGAGUGCAUUUGUAAUAGCUUCGGGGAUAUUCACUGCCCUUAACCAACUUCUGUCCAUAUUUACGCCAAUUAUAGCCAUCAUCUGCAGGUUUAUCAGAGACGUGAGGAGGAGG